AAGACGAGCCGGUGAUAUAAAAGGUGAUUAAAUGUUUUAUUUCUGAUGUUUCUGUAAUCUGUACAGGUGACGUCAGUAGAACGUCAGAACAGGGGAUGUCAGUAGUACAUCAGUAGAACGUCAGUACAGGUGACCGCAGUAGAACGUCAGUAGAACGUCAGUACAGGUGACGUCAGUAGAACGUCAGAACAGGGGAUGUCAGUAGUACAUCAGUAGAACGUCAGUACAGGUGACCGCAGUAGAACGUCAGUAGAACGUCAGUAGAACGUCAGUACAGGUGAUGUCAGUAGAACGUCAGUAGAACGUCAGUACAGGUGAUGUCAGUAGAACGUCAGUAGAACGUCAGAACAGGUGAUGUCAGUAGAACGUCAGUAGAACGUCAGUACAGGUGAUGUCAGUAGAACGUCAGUAGAACGUCAGUAUAGGUGAUGUCAGUAGAACGUCAGUAGAACGUCAGAACAGGUGAUGUCAGUAGAACAUCAGUAGAACGUCAGUACAGGUGACCGCAGUAGAACGUCAGUACAGGUGAUGUCAGUAGAACGUCAGUACAGGUGAUGUCAGUAGAACGUCAGUACAGGUGAUGUCAGUAGAACGUCAGAACAGGUGAUGUCAGUAGAACGUCAGUAGAACGUCAGUACAGGUGAUGUCAGUAGAACGUCAGUACAGGUGACCGCAGUAGAACGUCAGUAGAACGUCAGUAUAGGUGAUGUCAGUAGAACGUCAGUAGAACGCCAGUUCAGGUGACCGCAGUAGAACGUCAGUGCAGGUGAUGUCAGUAGAACGUCAGUAGAACGUCAGUACAGGUGAUGUCAGUAGAACGUCAGUAGAACGCCAGAACAGGUGAUGUCAGUAGAACGUCAGUAGAACGUCAGUACAGGUGACUGCAGUAGAACGUCAGUAGAACGUCAGUACAGGUAACCGCAGUAGAACGUCAGUAGAACGUCAGUACAGGUGAUGUCAGUAGAACGUCAGUAGAACGUCAGUACAGGUGACCGCAGUAGAACGUCAGUAGAAC